GUGCCAGCCGCCGCGGUAACCCCAGCGCCCCAAGCGGGAAUCACGAUUAUUGGGUCUAAAGCGUUCGUAGCAGGUUCUGUGAAUCCUUUGUGAAAUCGGCAGGCUUAACUUGUCGGCGUGCAGGGGACACUGCAGAACUCGAGACCGGGAGAGGUCAGAAGUAUUCCUUGGGUACCGGUAAAAUGGGUUAAUCCAAGGAGGACUACCAAUGGCGAAGGCAUCUGGCCAGCACGGUUCUGACUGUGAGGAACGAAAGCUAGGGGAGCAAAACGGAUUAGAAACCCCGGUAGUCC
rnacentral:rRNA from 1 species